rnacentral:lncRNA from 1 species
CAGGCUAUUAUCACGUUGUAGUAAAAAUCAACGUAGAAGGCUAUCAGAGCUACGGCAUAACCUAUUCCUGAAGAGGAUAUCUGACCUGUCAGCUGCACAAAAUGGCGGAAAAAAAAUAAAUACCUUUUAAUAAAGGAACAAGUCGUCCCCAGCAUGUAAUAGCUCCUUUCCGAUUGAAUUGCCCUAGAGCUAGUUCCAUAUAGAACAAAGGAAUCCCACCGACUACUAACAUGAUGCAGUGGAGCAGAAUAAUUGUUCCAGACGAUUGAAGUCGGUCAAGAGGGUAAUUGCUGAGGAAAAUUCAAGUUAAGAGACCGGAAACGGGAUUGAAAGUUUAGGAAAGAAAGAAAGAAGUGUAAAAAGCUGACUAACGUGAAAUAGCUUUCAAUUUUACUAUAUUUCCAUUACCGGAUAAUGAUCGAAUAUGCGACAAGUGCCAUUUAUUUAGAGAUUUUUUUUUUUAUUUAGAAAAAUUUGAGGCUAGAUUGACGUGAUUUUUAUUUCUUCAUAUUAAGUCAAAUGGAAGUUAAUAAAAAUACAAGCUCAGAUCUCCAGGAUUUAUGAUGAGGAUAAGGAGAGAGGAUUAUUUUUUAUGGAAGUGCAUGUUUAUAGCAGACGUCCAUGAUCAAAGGUGUCCUGAAUAGUUUGAAUAAUGAAAUUAAUUGAGGGGAAUUCGAGAGUAAAUUAGCGACCGAUCUUGCCGUGAUAAUAGCUCGCGUGCUGCAGUAGCAGUUUGAUAGACUGAAACUAGUAUUGGCGUAAUAUAAGUAGAGUCGCAUGAGCAGCAGUAGCACGGUGGUGGAUGGAUGCCCAUCCCAACGACAAGUAUAACUUAAUUAGCAGCCGCUUUUGAGAAGCUUUCCUGUAUCACUCUGUCAACCCAGUGUCAACUUAAUCGCAUUCCUGGAUGCCUUGAUAUUGCGCGAACUAAUAGCAUUUAUGCCUCUCUCUGCUCUUUAUAGUGAACCAUACACUCAACAUAGCUCUCCUCUCUUUGUAGCAAUCUGUAAAAUCUGCAGCACACCCGCAACCUCCUCUAUGGACAUCAUUCACACUACAGAUAUGUUAAAUUAUUUUUUCAUGCGGUCAUUUCUUCUCUUCCGCACUUUAAAGCUUUUUAUUAUAAAAUUUAUUACAAUUAAGAGGAUUAUGAGGCGGGCUCUCAUCACAAAGAUCUUCUUACAUCGCACGACCAACGUUUAAUGUUCACCUGUCAACGUCAACCGACCAAAUGACAAUUUUCCUGGAAAAUUGAAGACUAUAUACGCGGUUGUCACGUGACCGCUCCAUUCCGUCCAACCAAAUCGCCGC